rnacentral:snRNA from 1 species
AUGGUGUUGGUGGUGAGUGAUGA